UUUGAACUGCUUGAAGGCGUCAAUAGGCAUUAAAAUAUUAUUGCGGACUCGUGUACUCGCGUGGACUUGCAUGUAACCGAAGUCUUUCCUUGAGGGCAAGGGUUUUGGACAAGCAAGCGAAUUCAUUGGGCCGAUGUUAUGUGGUUCUUUAGGUUAACUUCCUGGCGAUGGCAGUUGCCGCAAAAAUCACGGCGUUCCAGCAGUAUAUAUGACACCCUGAUACCCUCAGAGAAUAUCUCCCUAAGCCAAGGAACCAGUCUAUCAGACGCAGAUUGUAAUUCAACUAUCGAAACAGAUAAAUUACUUUCUAAUUCCGGAACAUAUAUGUAAAUAUCACCGCCGAUUUCUGUAUUCAAAGAUGUGAAGAAGUGAUGAUCAUUGCUCAUAUGGGAGCUCGCUCCAGAAUCAAUCUACCUCUUGUCUUAGCUCAAUUUGUCCCCAGAAUUCAUGCAAAAUUCAUUACAAACCUUUGUGUCCAUUUUAUCUGAUGUCUUCUUAGCUAAACUUCAUAUGACUCAUCUAACCGCAUCCAUAUCAUUUUAAAGUUGAUUUAUUUAUCAUCUUCACUACACUACUUAGUGACUAACUUUCUUGACAACAGUUCCAUCUUGUCUUGUAUUCUUGAAUGAGUUUUUCUUUAUCGAGAUCCAACGUCAAAUCAUCACCACCACGAACUUCUAGAGCAGUAAUUAUGGAAUUGUAUUUAUCCGGCAAGCUUCCCAAUAAAAAUUUUUUAUCCAAUCCAUUCAA